rnacentral:rRNA from 1 species
AUAAGCAAAAUAAGGGCGUAUGGGGAAUGCCUAGGCUCUCAGAGGCGAAGAAGGACGUGAUAAGCUGCGAAAAGCUACGGGGAUCGGCACACACGACUUGAUCCGUAGAUAUCCGAAUGGGGCAACCCACUAUGUUGAAGACAUAGUAUCCUUUAUAGGAGGCGAACCCGCUGAACUGAAACAUCUAAGUAGGCGGAGGAGAAGAAAACAAAAGUGAUUCCGUAAGUAGUGGCGAGCGAACGCGGAAUAGCCCAAACCAAAGUUGUUACGGCAAUUUUGGGGUUGUAGGACCACGACAUUUCUUGCGGAUUGAAUUAGAAUUACCUGGAAAGGUAAACCAAAGAGGGUGAUAGUCCCGUAUAAGUAAGAGAAGAUAAGAAUAGUGGUAUCCUGAGUAGGUCGGGGCACGUGAAACCCUGAUUGAAACUGGCGGGACCAUCCGCUAAGGCUAAAUACUCCUGAGAGACCGAUAGUGAACCAGUACCGUGAGGGAAAGGUGAAAAGAACCGUGAAUAACGGAGUGAAACAGAUCCUGAAACCAUACGCCUACAAGCGGUCGGAGCCCUUAAGUGGGGUGACGGCGUGCCUUUUGCAUAAUGAGCCUACGAGUUACCGUUGCUGGCAAGGAUAAGUGAUAAAGUCAUGG